CUUGUAGAGGAGCGAGAUUUAUCAGUACGGAGAUAUGGUUGCAAGAGCCCUCCAGAAAGGAAAUUUCGCCGAAGCGUAUAUCUUCUUGCAAGGAUAUAUUGCUGGGCAUAAAGUUAAGAGCUUUAUGACUGUCAUCAAUCUUGAUGGAGCACUA
rnacentral:ncRNA from 1 species